rnacentral:lncRNA from 1 species
CCCAAGCUCCGAACCCUCCCACUCCCUCCCUCUCCCCCAGGGCAGCCACAAGUCUAUUCUCCAAGUCUAUGAUUUUCUUUUCUGUGGAAAGGUUCAUUCGUGCUGUAUAUUAGAUUCCAGUUAUAAGUGAUAUGAUGCUGUAUUUGUCUUUUUCUUUCUGACCCAUUUCACUCAGAAUGAGAGUCUCUAGUUCCAUCUGUGUUGCUGUAAAUGGCAUUAUGUCAUUCUUUUUAUGGCUGAGUAUAUUCCACUGUGUAUAUAUACCACCUCUUCCAAAUCCAAUCAUCUGUCGAUGGACAUUUGGGUUGUUUCCAUGUCCUGGCUAUUGUGAAUAGUGCUGCAAUGAAAAUGCGGGUGCAUGUGUCUCUUUUAAGGAGAGUUUUGUCCGGAUAGAUGCCCAAGAGUGGGAUUGCGAGGUCAUAUGGAAGUUCUAUGUAUAGAUUUCUAAGGUAUCUCCAAACUGUUCUCCAUAGUGGCUGGACCAGUUUACAUUCCCACCAACAGUGCAGGAGGGUUUCCUUUUCUCCACAGCCCCUCCAGCACUUGUUAUUUGUGGGUUUAUUAAUGAUGGCCAUUCUGACUGGUGUGAGGUGAUAUGUCAUGGUAGUUUUGAUUUGCAUUUCUCUUAUAAUCAGCGAUGUUGAGCAUUUUUUCAUGUGUUUGUUGGCCAUCUGUAUAUCUUCUUUGGAGAAAUGUCUAUUCAGGUCUUUUGCCCAUUUUUCAAUUGAUUGAUUGGUUUUUUUGCUGUUGGGUUGUAUAAGUUGUUUAUAUAUUCUAGAGAUUAAGCCCUUGUCAGUUGCAUCAUUUGAAACUAUUUUCUCCCAUUCUGUAAGUUGUCUUUUUGUUUUCUUUUGGGUUUCCUUUGCUGUGCAAAAGCUUUUCAGUUUGAUGAGGUCCCAUGGGUUUAUUUUUGCUCUAAUUUCUAUUGCUUUGGGAGACUGACCUGAGAAAAUAUUCAUGAUGUUGAUGUCAGAGAGUGAUUUGCCUAUGUUUUCUUCUAGGAGUUUGAUGGUGUCCUGUCGUAUAUUUAAGUCUUUCAGCCAUUUGGAGUUUAUUUUUGUGCAUGGUGUGAGGGUGUGUUCUAGUUUCAUUGCUUUGCAUGCAGCUGUCCAGGCUUCCCCGCAAUGCUUGCUGAAUAGACUUUCUUUUUCCCAUUUUAUGUUCUUGCCUCCCUUGUCAAAGAUUAAUUGACCAUAGGUGUCAGGGUUUAUUUCCGGGUUCUCUAUUCUGUUCCAUUCGUCUGUCUGUCUGGAGAAGUCUUGAUAUUAGAACUUUGGGCCCACAAGUAGCCAGAGGCAGGACUCUGAGGGGGCCAUGCAAAUAGGUAUAGGCGGCAAUUGGUCUAAGUGUGAACCUGGGAGCACGUGGCCAGGGUAACUACCCGCCUGUGAACCCCUGAUUUAACAGGCUCCAAGAGCCUUGUCACUCAGUGAUUUUUUUUUUUUAUGCCUCACACCUCUUCUGGCACAUCUGUGUCUCCCCUCAACCACGACACACAUGGGGACCCAAGCUCUCCUCCGUGUGGGCUGAGCUCUGCUGCCAUCUGGUGGCAGUUUAUGUGGGGACAGGAGAGACAAGAGCCGCUGCCUCCCUUCCUACACUUCUAUUUGCAGAGAGGGGGAAAUUUCUUGGCAUUUUCUCCAGGGAUGGAAGGAAAGGCCACCCAACCUGUCACUGCUGCUUGUGAGGGCCUCACCUCUAUGGGCCGUGCUGUCCCUGCUGUGCACCAUUGAGAUGUCCUGUCCCCAGGUACAGUGCAAUUCAGGGAGACAGUACACACGGGGUGCGGGGGCAGGGGUGGAUGGAGGAUGUCUUAUCUUCUUAGCUGCACCCCCAUUCACACUGCAUGCUGAAAUCUGGCAUGUCCUGACUGCUCAGUUGGUGUAUGAUUUCAACUGUGAGCUCCUUGAGGUCAAGGACAUUUGGUGUCCAUAAUCCGUAUCUAGCACAGGGCUGAGCCCAGAGGAGAUAUUAAAUGUGAAACACCUCUAUGCUAUUGGAUCAGCAGAUCUUGUCAACUCAUCUUCCAGAAGCCAUUCUCUUGUCCGUAGCUCUCUGCUUUUCCCCAGAGUCAAUAGAUGUUGUGUGCCAUCCUUGACCACUCCAACCUAAGUCCCUCCCCAGGAAUUGCCCUUCUUCCAAAGUAAGCUACUUUCCAAAGUUAAGUCUCUUUCCAGAGGCAGCCCCCACUGAGUAAGUAGCCAAUGCUGGCUUGGGUGGCUCCAAGCUCUGUGCCACAAAUUGAGGUAACUGGGAAGGUCCACUGAAGCCCCAGAGCUUCCUGUGGGAUGGGCUAAAGCCUUUGCUAUGACCAAAUCACAGCUCACCUCUCCCUCUGCCCAGCAUGCACCCUUCACCCAUCACUGUUUGAAGGCUCUCAGUCCUCCAGAGAACGGCAGCAAGAGGCUGAGGACAAUUCCUCACCUAUUUGAGGCAAAGAAUUAACGUUAGAGGGCCCUCCUUGGUAGCACGCAGAGAUUCCUGUUCUCCAUCAGUCAGAGGGCGGAAGUGGCUGAGGCUUGGCCCAUACUGGACGCAGAGGGAGCAGAGCUCCAGAGAAGACUGGAUUCUUGAUUUAGCAGGUAUGCCACACCAAGGUCAAGACCCUGGCUGGGAAAGAGCUGAGACUUGAGAGAAGGAUUGUGACGGGUCUAGACCCCCCCCCCCGCCGCCCCCCAUGAGGCUGGCCGAUGCCUCUGUUGUGACUGCACUGCUGUUCAACUUGACACUCUUGACAACCUUGAAGCCUCAGAUCCCCAGAACACUAGCCUGCAGAUGUAACCUACUCCCUGAGGUCGACUCAAAGGCUGCUCAUCCCCUUCAUGAUCUGCUCCCACCUGCCUCCUGGAUGUCUGGUCAAUAACUGGUCAAGUCACAACAUCACUUGGCCAGGGAUGUGCUGGGGCUGCCAAGAGAGGAGAGGACCCGCAGGUUGAAGGAGCUAUGGGAACCCCACCAGUGUGAAGCGGCAGAAGCUAGGAGAACAUAUAUGGGUCUGGAUCGGGAGGCUGCUGAAUGGAGAGAAGCUGCAUGUGCAGUGGUGUAAGAAAGUUUAUCAACACAAGAACCCUCUCCUGUGACAGAAGAUUGCUUGCUACCCUGGCAUAGUCCCUAAAAGAUUAUGCAAACAUGCUGCUAGGUUGGUUCCCACAGCCUGGAAAAAGCAAUAAGCCAUGGUAAGUAAAACAAAAAUGCCUGAAUUGCCAUGGUCGGUGGUAGAGAAGGGAUCCAAGGCCCAGAGCAGUGAGAAUGUUAAAAUAGGCAUGUUAUGUAAGGCUGGAAAACCCAUCAACUACGCUCCAUGUGAAGGAGGGCCAGGAGGACUCUUUGUCCAGGAAAAUGCUAAGAAAUGCAUUGGUGAGAGUGCCACCAGCAAUACUGAAAAAGCUGAGCGGGGGCUGUCCUCUGUGGGCCAGGGCCGAGACUAGGAGAUGCUGUUAUGGAACAAGAUUCCUUGAUAGCAAUGGGAUGAUAGUCUCAAAUUAGGAAGCCAGGAACCCCAAGGCAUCAGAAGCAAUUGUGAUAAGGAGCAAAGUCAGCCUGGCAACUGAUCAGGGGAGCCUGAUCCAGAGGGAACAUGGAAGUGGUGACUAGAACGUGACAUUCUGAAGGGCAAGGCAGACAGACAGGCAGCCAAGAAGGGUAUCGGGCCAUCUACAUACAGUUAAAAGAAAUCGAGGUGGCUGAGGAAGUACCCCAAUGAGAAUUUAAGAUUCAUUGCCCAGUUCCUGAACCUGAGCCAGGAUUCAGACCUGAAACUCAGUGACUGGGGGAAAAGCUGGGCCCUCAGGAGGAAGGACCUGCACAACCACAGCACCAUGUACAGGAUGAGUCCUUCUGUCCUUCCCCAAGGGACCUGCGGGCCAAGGCAAAACUCCAAAGAGUUUUGGAGACUGGCUGGACGCAGAUACAGGAUCUGACCUGACGUAGAUACUGGGUGCCCAAAACACCAUUGUGAUCUUUGUUAGAAUGAGGGUCAGGGACCAUAUACAUGAAAUACAGACAUGAUAUCACUUAUAUGUAGCACCUAAAAUAUGGCACAGAUGAACCUAUCUACAGAACAGAAACAGACUCAUGGACCUAGAGAACAGACUUGUAGUUGCUGAGGGGGAGGGGAAGGGAGUGAGAUGGACUGAGAGUUUGGGGUUAGUAGAUGCAAACUAUUACAUUUAGAAUGGAGAAGCAACGAGGUCCUCCCACAGAGCACAGGGAAUUAUGUCCAAUCACUUGUGACAGAACAUGAUGGAAGAUAAUGAGAAAAAGAAUGUGUGUAUAUAUAAAACUGGGUUAGUCUACUGUACUGCAGAAUUGACAGAAUAUUAUAAAUCAACUAUAAUAAAAAAUGAAAAAGAAAAGAAAAUAAAUAAAGUCCUAGUGCAGGUCUGACCUCGAGUGGGCCCACUGGGUCCACAGACUUCCUCAGUGUUUAUUCCCUAGUCCUUGAAAGUAUGAUCAGAGUGACAUGCUUGUAUACACACUGUCAGCCAAGUGGCCAAGUGGAAACCUGUGAGACUCCCCUGACCCCA